UACGGAGGUGGCAAGCGUUGCUCGGAAUCACUGGGCGUAAAGGGCGCGUAGGCGGGGAGGUAAGUCGGAUGUGAAAUCCCUCGGCUUAACCAAGGAAGUGCAUCCGAAACUGCAGUGCUUGAGUACUUAAGAGGAUCGCGGAAUUCCCGGUGUAGAGGUGAAAUUCGUAGAUAUCGGGAGGAACACCAGUGGCGAAGGCGGCGAUCUGGGAAGAUACUGACGCUGAGGUGCGAAAGCGUGGGGAGCAAACAGG
rnacentral:rRNA from 1 species